GGAAAGCUAGUUAAAUUUUAUAACAUCUGCUUGUCGCGCCUAAAUUGCUCCUAAGAGCGCUUUCCG
rnacentral:tRNA from 1 species